GUUUAACCCGCUCUGAUCUGCUUGGUUCACUUUUACCCGGUUCACACUGCUCAUGAUGAACAGCAUGUUUCUUGUCUGGAGUCUCAGCUCUCUCAUCCUCAGCUACGCUCUUGGGGAUCCCAUCCUUAAUAGCACAAGCAUUGGAUCCCAUGUAGAGACUUUUGUCAAUGUCACAGAAGGGAACUUCACAGGGUAUAAUCAGACCAAUCAGACAAGACAUGAAUUACAAGAAGUCAAAGUCAUGUAA